rfam:Clostridium sp. CAG:710 genomic scaffold, scf81
CAAAUUGAUUUGUUGGUGCCAUAGACAGUAGGUAUAAAAGUAAAUCCUACCGAGGACUUAACUUUACGGUUUAAUGAGGUCUUUAUGUCUAUGAUGUAAAGACCUUUUAUUAUGGUACC